rnacentral:lncRNA from 1 species
UUUUUCUUUUUUUUUUUUUUUUUUUUUCUUUUUUUUUUUUUCCAGCAAGAAAAUAAAAAUUUUGGGAAAUAAGAAAUGUUCAGAGCAUAUAGUUUGGGAAUAGAUACCAAAUCCAGGCUUGGAAUGGAAUUCCAAGCAGGAAUUACAGGCAGCAAAUGGCCCUGGGCAGCCCCUCCAGCCAGAACAAGGGAACCAGAUGAUGCCAAGAGCUCCUGACAAACCCCCAGGGAUCUCCCAUGAGGGAUAAUGAGGCUUUCCUUCCCUGCAGUGCCCAAGGCCAGGCUGGACAUUGGGGCUUGGAGCACCUGGGGCAGUGGGAGGUGUCCCUGCCCAUGCCAGGAGGGAAUGGGUGGGAUUUAGGGUCCCUCCAACCCAAACCAUUCCAUGGUUCUGUGAUCCAAUGGAUGCAUUUUACCUGGAACUUAUCAAAGGUGCUGCCCCAGCAGGGCUGCACCUGAUAUGCCUGAGGGACAAACAGAAUUUAUUCCCACUGGAAUCAGAUCCUGCAAUUCUAUUCCCUGUGAAUAAAAAAAAAUCACUUAUUCUUUAAAAACCCAAAGACAAUCCCAGACUUUUCAAAUUGUGUGGAAGGCUGGAGAGUGGAUCCCUGUUCCCAGAACAUCAAUCAAGCCCAGGCUCAGUUUAAUUUUGUUACCAGUCAUGCUCAGCUUUCCAAAUCAUUCCAAGAGCUCCUCCUGGAGCUGUUUGAUCUCAAAAUUCUUGUUCAACGUCUCAGCGCUCUUUUAGAGAGUCUGUAAAGCCUGAGAAGCUCCAGGUCCUGAAGAGGGAAGGAAUUACAGCACUAAUAUUCCUGUUUAUUGCGUUUUUCCCCCUACUCAAGGCAAGUGAAAUGACAUGCACAGAGAUCUGGGCUGAUGAGAAGCACAUAAAUGCCAGUGUUUAGUAUCUGGAUUAGUCACAGAAGAAAGCAAAUCAUGAGCUUGUCUCUCCGAGCUGCCAAGCUGCUGACAAAGUCUUUCAGAAAUAAUGAAGCUGAGUUUAUCAAUGAAGUUUGUGUCAAGGUAAGCCAAGAUUCCCUUCAGCAUCACAAACAGGGCUUUGAUGAAACUUUCAUAAACAGUUUAAUUUUUCUCUUUUAUCUUCUCCUGCACUCCCCUCGCUGUUCUUCAGAGCAGCCCCCACCAGGAACAGCAGCUCCAGGAGAUGGGAGACCCUCCUGAAGGUUUCAGGCUGAGGUUUCUCGGUGGUUUGGUGGAGGGGAGAGCUCAGUUCCAGGUGUUUAAUAAGGGCAGAGAGACAAACUUGGCUGGCACAGGGACAAACAGUGUUGGAGUCCAGCACAUCCCUCUGGCUGCCCUGGCUGGCUCCAGACCCUGGCAGGGGCUCACAGACCUUGGCACGAGUCAAAAACACCUGUGGCUUCCAUUUUAGCCUGUGGAAAAAGCUGCCAACUCUGUGUGAGGAAUUACAAACCACAAGGGUUUGAGCAGUGUGGUAGUUAAAUUAACACAGGGUGGAAAAGUAGAAUUUUGGGGUUUUUACAAUGGGGUUCAGGGGUACAAGAUGGAGGAAUUUGGGCAUGUCCUGACCUUCUUCUCCUUCUCCUUGCCCUCCAUGCCUUGCUAUGAUGGUGACACAGGGAAUGGCUCCCACUGCCAGAGGGCAGGGAUGGGUGGGAGAUUGGGAAUUGGGAAUUCCUGGCUGGGCUGGAAUUGCCAGAGCAGCUGUGGCUGCCCCUGGAUCCCUGGCAGUGCCCAAGGCCGGGCUGGACACUGGGGCUGGAGCAGCCUGGCACAGUGGGAGGUGUCCCUACCAUGGCAGGGGUGGCACUGGAAGGUUUUUAAUGUCCCUUCCCACCCAAACCAGGCUGGGAUUCCAUGAAAUCAAGAACCCAGCAGCUCCUGGAGGAGCAUCAAGCAGGGGGCACAGAAAGGGCCCUGCUUAGCAGCUUACCCCUGCUCAUUCCUGGUAAAUCCUGGCUGUGGAUGCAGAGAAAACCACAAAACUGCUUCCUCAUCCAUCCCCUCCUCCUUUCCAGGAGGGUUUCAAAGGCUCCCCAGCCCGGCAGGAGCAGCAGGGUUGGCUCUGCAGGGACUGAGCCUUUCAAGGAGCAGAGCCCAGUCUGGAAAUAUGAAAGGGAAAAUCUGCAAAGGCUGCAAAGCCUCCCCUGUCCCCACCACAGCUGCCACCCCCUGCCCAGCUGAAGAGAAGAAAAUGCACUUCAAGAGGAAGAUUCCUUUGAAAGGAGGCAGAAGACGGGCACAGAGAGAUGAAGAUGACGGCUCCUGAGAGGGGCACAGCCCGACUGGGGCGGGAGCUCUGGGAACAAUGGGAAUUUCACCAAAAUUAGAUCAGAACACCAGCGAGGCUGCUGGAAGCUUCAGCACAGGCAGAAGGGUGAAAAGUGCCAGAGUUUGCUGGAUUUUUUUUUCCCCUGUUGUUUUACUGAGAAGGGGGAAGGGUGAGAGCCAGUGAAAUAAUCACAAAUAUUCCAGUCAAACGGGGAAACUACAGAAGUACAAAACAACUCCCUGAUUUCAUCCCUGAUUUCCUCCAGUCAGGCAGAACCUUCUGCUGAGCUGAUUCUCAACAGGAAUUCCAUAACUCAGAGGAAUUUUCACUCAGAGGAGGUACAGGGGGUGACAGGUCAUGGAGGAUGGAACGUGGAUUUUAAGAGGAUGGGACCCUGAGGGACACACUGGAAUACAAAGAUGACUUUUUUUAGGUGAGAUGUCUCUGCUCUGGAGCCAGGCUGGAGAGCUGGGAAUGUUCCCCUGGAGAGGAGAAGCUCCAGGGAGAGCUCAGAGCCCCUUGCAGGAUCUGGAGGGGCUCCAGGAAAGCUGGAGAGGGACUGGGGACAAGGGAUGGAGGGACAGGACACAGGGAAUGGCUUUAUAUUGGAAAAGAGGAGAUUGGGUGGGAUGUUGGGAAGGAAUUCCUGGCUGUGAAGGUGAGGAGGGGCUGGGUUGGAAUUCCCAGAGCAGCUGUGGCUGCCCAUGGAUCCCUGGAAUGUCCAAGGCCAGGUUGGAGCAGCCUGGGAUGGUGGAAGGUGUCCCUGGCAUGCCCAGACAGAAAACAGCUUUGCACUGCCCAGUGCCACAGGCUCCCCGUCCUCCUCCAGGUGGGAAACGGGGGGAGCAGCAGCCAGAGCAGUUAAUUGCAGCAGUUAAUUGCAGCAGUCAAUGAAGCUGUUCUCAGGGGUGAAUCUCCUGGAGCAGCAGCGCCCCGGGCAGGGUGGGCAGCAGGGAAAGCUCCAGCUCUGAUCUCAGUUUCCCUGCCCAGCCCAGUUCGGGCUGUUUCAGCCUCUCCUGGAGCUGCAGGAUCCCCCGGGGAUCAGGACUGAGAGGCCAAGGACAAAGCACUCUCCCAUUUUGUUAUUUCCAUGCUCCAACAACCCCAAACAGGCACCACUGGGAAGGGGAAGAGAGGAAAACCUCAAAAUAGAAACAGUUUCUGCUUGGAAUCGCUCCCGCUUCGUGCUGCAGGAACAGCAUCUCUUUUUCUUUGUUUUUUUUUUUAUUGUUCUCCAGACACAUUCUGGUCUUAUUUAAAGACUCAGCAAAACAGGAUAGCAUCCAUGUGGAAAGGAGGGAGAAAAAGGAGUGAGCAGAUUUGGCACUCUAGAAACUUCUGGAUGUCUCUUCAGCAAUUAUUUGGGAAGGUUUGCUGCUGCAGAAUCUCCCGCCCCACUGUCUGAAGUGUAAUUGGAAUUAAUUUCAGAUAGAGUUUCAUCAGAUCUCAUUUCAGACAACUGUUCCCUUUCAGAAGAAACUGGCUGGGAUUGUUUGCCUGGACCAACUCUUCCUGCAGGAACUCCACUGGAAGUCAAGGUAAUGAUAAAGUUUGCUUUAUACAUCAAAAAACUGGAAUUAAUUUACCUGCACACUCAUGUUCCAUGUUUCUUCAACUCUACCAUGAGUUAUUAAUACUGGGGCUGGCAGUUCUGUAGGAUUUCUUAAUUAUGUAUCAAAAUUCCCAUACAGUAAAUUCCAUCUUCACUCUGGAUGCUCCAAAGGCAACAAUUAAAUCUAUUUAUGUGAAAUUAAAUCAAACUUAUCCCCACAUCCACAAUUUGUUCUUUAUCCAGAGCAGCUGUGGCUGCCCCUGGAUCCCUGGCAGUGUCCAAGGCCAGGCUGGAUCUGGAGCUGGAUUAUCCUGCCUGUGGAUGAUCCCUAAAAUCCCUCCCAACCCAAACCAUUCUGCACUUCUGUGAGUGCUGGAAGGGAACUGAGGGGGCAAAAAGCAAUAUUUUAUUGUUUUCUGGGAGUACAACUAUUUAAAUCCAUGGAAACUGAGCCCUGGUGCCAGAGUUCCAGCCUGGAAUCCCCUUGCAGGUUGGGGGGAUUACUCAAAGUCAUGGAAGAAUAAGAGGGGUUUCAGUGAUAAAGUAAGAAAAAACAUCUCAGUUCUUAUAAUACCCCAAAAAAGUGCAAUUAUGUCUUGAUCACAGCUCAGGGAUUACAUGUUUUUAAUGAAGUGAACAUUGUCAGUGUGGGAAGCAAUAAAAAUAAAAAAAAAAAAAA